rnacentral:rRNA from 1 species
UACGAAGGGGGCUAGCGUUGCUCGGAAUCACUGGGCGUAAAGCGUACGCAGGCGGACCGUUAAGUCGGGUGUGAAAUCCCGGGGCUCAACCCCGGAACUGCAUUCGAAACUGGCGGUCUUGAGUACGGGAGAGGUGAGUGGAAUUCCUGGUGUAGAGGUGAAAUUCGUAGAUAUCAGGAGGAACACCGGUGGCGAAAGCGGCUCACUGGCCCGAUACUGACGCUCAUGUACGAAAGCGUGGGGAGCAAACAGG